CUCCAAGGUGAGGAUAACGUAGAUGGCACUAUAGCCUACUACAGCCGUGGCUCUAACCCCGAGCAGGACAAGCCCCCACCGACCAUCUGUCGGUUGUCACUUUGCAUGGCGCUAAACAGUUAGCCACUGCUCCAGAGUCACCUUCGUGCUCGGGGGAUCCUCGAUCCUGUUCACCGAGGGAACCUCGCGCCUCUGGGGGCUCGAUGCUAUUUCCUCAGUGUGUAUCAGUGUGUCAGUGUGUGUGUGUGUGUGCCUUUGCGUAUGCGCGUGUUUGUGUGUCUGUGCACUGUGUGUGUUCUCAGAAACAGGUAUGUGCCCAGUGCAUUACCUGUCGCAUAAAUCGGAUAAAUCUACGAGUGGCUGCGUAAUCACCAUUGCACGGAUGAUUAAAGACAAAUGCAAGAGCUACGUGACUUGGAGAACUUCCUCAUCCUUUACCUUAAGGUCAAACGUGUUUGAUGGGUUGAAUUAAUAUUUUAUUUUGUUUAUUCCAUGCAAUGAGUAGUGAAUAGUGA
ensembl:lncRNA